rnacentral:tRNA from 1 species
AGUAAGUGCCUGAUUUUAAAGGAUUACCUUGAUAGGGUAAAUUAUAUAACUUUUGUUAUCUUACUU